CUGGUGAUCCAUGAAUUAAAAUAAGGAGGAGGUGCUCAAGAGUUGGGCGCCCCUUAUCUUGCCAUGUUUGGAUAAGCCUUGACUAGGUAUUUGACCUAGACAAGGACUCUUAUCAUAUCUCUCUGUAUAAAAUGAGUUUCUUCAUGAAAUUUUUGGAGAAGAUAGAGAUUUGAGAUACCUUUGGGCCAUCCAAAAAUCAGAGAGAAAGACCUUUGGGUCGUGGAGAUAUAAUAGACACAAGUUAGGAUGUCUAGAGAGAGAAACGAGAAGAAGAAGAGGGUCUUCUUCUAGGGUUGUUUGUUUUCAUAUCUUUCCUCCCUCCAUCUUGAGUUUCCUGAGAGCGUCUCAGAUCUGAAACUCCUCCUCCUAUUUUUCAUCUUUAUAAGAAUCCAAAUCAAAAAGAAGGAGGCACCUGAUCAACCAUCAAAGAAGGAUCAGCACAGUACUAGCAUACUGUGUUGAUUUCUUGAAGCAGAACUUUUGAUCGAGAUUCGUGGGCUCAUGCGAAUGACUCUUAGAGGCCGGACACAUGUGCGGCUUGCAACAUCAUCCUCAAGCCC
rnacentral:lncRNA from 1 species